rnacentral:rRNA from 1 species
CAACUUUUAGCAAUGGAUCUCUUGGUUCUCGCAUCGAUGAAGAGCGUAGCAAAUUGCGAUAAUUAGUGCGAAUUGCAGACAUUGUGAAUCAUCGAGUUCUUGAACGCACCUUGCACCUAGUGGUUUAUUCUACUAGGUACGGUUGUUUCAGUAUCACA